AGCUCGAUGAAGUUAGAAGGGAGUUGGC
rnacentral:piRNA from 1 species